rnacentral:rRNA from 1 species
AUUGAACGCUGGCGGCAUGCCUUACACAUGCAAGUCGAACGGCAGCACGGGAGCAAUCCUGGUGGCGAGUGGCGAACGGGUGAGUAAUAUAUCGGAACGUGCCCAGUCGUGGGGGAUGACGCAGCGAAAGCUGUGCUAAUACCGCAUACGAUCUACGGACGAAAGCGGGGGAUCGCAAGACCUCGCGCGAUUGGAGCGGCCGAUAUCAGAUUAGCUAGUUGGUGGGGUAAAGGCCCACCAAGGCGACGAUCUGUAGCUGGUCUGAGAGGACGACCAGCCAAACUGGAACUGAGACACGGUCCAGACUCCUACGGGAGGCAGCAGUGGGGAAUUUUGGACAAUGGGCGCAAGCCUGAUCCAGCAAUGCCGCGUGCAGGAUGAAGGCCUUCGGGUUGUAAACUGCUUUUGUACGGAACGAAACGGCCCUUUCUAAUACAGGGGGCUAAUGACGGUACCGUAAGAAUAAGCACCGGCUAACUACGUGCCAGCCGCCGCCGUAAAAC